GGCGGGCGGUGCCCGGACGCAGGUGCCCGCCGGAGCCGGAGCAAGCUGCUGCUGACGGGCCGGGCCGGGCCGGGACCCGGGCCAGGGACAACCGAGGGGCCUGUGCGGCCGCCCGGCCCGGCCGCGGAACAGGUUCCUGGGACCAUGGGCCUCAGGCCCUGAAGACAGGAGGCUCCCUGUGGCCAUGACGACAGGUGACUGUUGCCACCUCCCUGGCUCUCUAUGUGACUGUUCUAGCAGCCCUGCCUUUUCCAAGGUUGUAGAGGCCACAGGGCUUGGGCCACCUCAAUAUGUAGCACAAGUGACUUCACGGGAUGGCCGGCUGCUCUCAACUGUCAUCCGGGCUUUGGACACACAGAGUGACUGUCCCUUCUGCCGAAUCUGCCAUGAGGGAGCAACUGGGGAAAACUUGCUGUCCCCAUGUGGCUGCACUGGCACACUGGGAGCUGUGCACAAGAGCUGCCUGGAGAAAUGGCUGUCUUCCUCCAACACCAGCUACUGUGAGCUGUGUCACACUGAGUUUGCAGUGGAAAAGCGGCCCCGACCUCUCACAGAGUGGCUAAAGGACCCAGGGCCGCGCACUGAGAAGCGAACACUGUGCUGUGACAUGGUGUGCUUCGUGUUCAUCACACCACUGGCUGCCAUCUCAGGCUGGCUUUGCCUGCGAGGGGCCCAAGACCACCUCCGUCUGCAUAGCCGGCUGGAAGCUGUAGGUCUUAUUGCCCUCACCGUCGCCCUCUUUACCAUCUAUGUGCUCUGGACACUGGUCUCUUUCCGAUACCAUUGCCAGCUGUACUCAGAAUGGAGGAAGACCAAUCAGAAAGUCCGCCUGAAGAUUCGGGAAGCAGAUGGCUCCGAGGACCCACAUCACUCCUUGCUGGCUACUGGACUCUUAAAAAAGCUUCAGAGAUUCAGUCCAUUAUCAUUAAGGCAGGAGCAUGGCAGCAUCCAGGCAGGCAUAGUGCAGGUGGAGCUGAGAGUUCACAACAUCUUUGUCUGAAGGAGGCUACUAGAAGACUGAUUCCCAGGCAGUUAGGUCAAGGGUAUUAAAGUCCACACCCACAAACCCACAUCUACUCCAACAAGGUCACACCUACAACAGUGCCACUCCCUGGGCCAACCAUAUACAAACCAUCAUAGGUACAAAAUAUGUUAAUCAUGUGGGAGGUCCUGAUUCCAUUCCAAAAGGAAAAAGGUAAGAACAAUUUUCACAUAUUUUUUAUGCCAGAUCCCAUAUACUCUCUAUGACUGAUGGUAAUACUCUCUAUACCAAUCUGGGAUUAUCAUGGAUGAGACCCAACUCUGAGCUUGCUUCAUAUCUCUCCUCUUCUCUGGGGAAGAAACAGUUAUGACCUCUAUUUCUAAAGGUGGAAAGACAGGCUCGACAUAUGAAAACCUUUAUCUGAAGUUCUACAGCUUUAGGAGCUGGGGAUGCCCCAAUGUUAAGCUUUGUGCCCUACCCUCUGGCAGUCUCAAGAAAGAUGCAGAAUGUGGCUGUGGUAAUAACAGCUUCUGUUGCUCCUCACUCUUUUUUUUUAGUUGGCCCUGGAAUAAUGUAAAUAGACUGUUCUCAAAUUUGUGGUACUCCUCUUGUGUUUGCCUCUGAAACACAGAUUAUGUGUUAUGUGCCACCAUGCCUAGCCAGCUCACUUUUGAGCUCUUGUUGCAUGCUGCGUUAUGUAACAGCCUAGGGCUCUUGGCAUUUUCCUGCAUUUAAUGCCCAGGGCAGCCCUAAAAGGUGGUUUCUGGGGAGCAUGUUACUUACUUACUGGGGUUUUUUGUUUUUGUUUUUGUUUUUUUGAGACAGGGUUUCUCUAUGUAGCCCUGGCUGUCCUGGAACUCUGUAGAUUAGACUGGCUUCAAAGUCACAGAGAUCCACCUCCUCUGACCCCCAAGUGCUGGAAUUAAAGAUAAGCUGAUAUCUCCUUGACAUGCCAUGGCCAUUGUCACAGCAGGUGUGGUUACUUGCACAAGAUGGAAUCCCCCCAUCAUGUUGGGGUGGGGGAACCUUGGGAGGGUCUUCCCUGAAGACCUAUUGGCAGCAGUUGUUGGAGGAAAGAGGUGUCAUUUUCUUCAGUGUUGUAGCCACCCAUUUAGUUGCCCCAGUAAAUAAACCCCUAAUCUAUGCUCUUGCAAGCGAACCUAACUCAGUAGGUCAUAAAACAAAGACAAGAAACUACAUGGAGGAACUUGUUGGAAAGGUCCAGUGGAAAUGAGGGGGAAGUAAAACGGCAAUGGUAGGUGAAUAUGAUAAAAAACAGUAUAGGGUUAGGGAUUGAAGCUGGUAGACUGCUAGCAUGUUCAAAUCACUGGGUUCAAUCCCUAGCACUGAACAAACUGAGCAUGGUUCCUCCAGCACUCAAGAGGUGUAGGCGGACAGCUCAGACAUUCAAGGCCAGCAUUGGCUAGAAACUGUCUCAACAACAGCAACAAACCCCAAACAAACUCAAAAUACAUGAUUACAUAUAUGAAGUUGUUAAAAAAAAAAAAAAGCUAGGCGUGGUGGUGCUUGCCUUUAUUUCCUGCACUUGGUAGGUAGGGAGAGGCUGGAGGGCUACAUAGUGAGACCCUGCCUCAAAAAAGAAAGCUAAAGAGU